GCUUCUUGUGCACCCCCAGUCUCCUCACUGGUGUGGCAGUAUGAGGAACAGAAAAGGCCUUGGCUGUCUAAGCACUGCUCAGCAAUAACUGAAACAACCCUGUGUUGUCAACGAUGUUUGCAGCAGAAAACAAAGCCCCAUAUUAGUUCCUCUCCUAAUCUAUGCAAGAAAUAGGUACCACCAGAGACAAAAAUCUUUAACUCUGGAUUAAGAUAGGUUACCAUUCAGAAGUUCUUCCUUCGCACUACAGAUGGUAGAGCAGUUGGGAUUAUCAGAAUUUUAGGUUUCGACUAGAGAUGAACUUUCUUUUCAAAUAUGAGUAAUGGUUACUCAUGAUGGAGCCCUGUUUUCCUGGAGAUGGCUGAACACCUGCCUGCCCACAGGAAGUGGUGACUUAACUCCUUGUUCUGCUCUGCUUUUGUGCAC